AUGGCUGAUAUAGAAUCCUACAUGUUUGAGACUCAGUGAUCAAGAAUCAGGAUUCUCUGAUCAUGAGUUCCACACAUUAUGGGUAUCAGGGUCAAGAGUCCCACUGGUUGGGACUUUUCGAUCAGGGUUACAUAUCGAUGAAUUCUGAUGCCUAAUUGCCCAUCGGAUUUGGACUCAGUAUUUAUGAGAGGUUUAAUUAGUGAUUUGAUCAUUAAUUAACUCAAUUUUAUUGAGUAAUUAUUUUUGGAUCAAGUCCAAUUAAAUUGGAUUCAGU
rnacentral:lncRNA from 1 species